rnacentral:rRNA from 1 species
CCUACGGGUGGCAGCAGUGAGGAAUAUUGGUCAAUGGACGAGAGUCUGAACCAGCCAAGUAGCGUGAAGGAUGACUGCCCUAUGGUUUGUAAACUUCUUUUAUCUGGGAAUAAGCUGUUCCACGGGUGGGAUUUUGUGUGUAGCAUAUGUAUAAGCAUCGGCUAACUGCGUGCCAGCAGCCGCGGUAAUACGGAGGAUCCGAGCGUUAUCCGGAUUUAUUGGGUGUAAAGGGAGCGUAGGUGGAUCGUUAAGUCAGUUGUGAAAGUUUCCGGCUGAACGGUAAAAUUGCCGCUGAUACUGGCAGUCUUGAGUACAGUAGAGGUGAGCGGAAUUCGCGGUGUAGCGGUGGAAUGCUUAGAUAGCAGGAAGAACUCCGAUGGCGAAGGCAGGUCACUGGACUGCAACUGACACUGAGGCGCGAAAGUGUGGGUAUCAAACAGGAUUAGAUACCCUUGUAGUC